rnacentral:lncRNA from 1 species
AAGCAUUUGUGUGUUGUCAGGUUCCUUUGAUAUAUGACUUUGAUUCCCGCAUCUGAUUUCGCCUGCAGCAUCCGUGGGAGUACCUGAUGUUAGACAAGCAUCCGUGGGAGUACCUGAUAGAUUUGUCCCACCGUUGAUAUAAUCGUUUGGAGGUUCACCCUCUGUAGAACACCAAUAUAUCAGCAUAGGCACAUGUUGUUAAUGAAAAUGACCAAUAGUAGGGUGAUAGUGUAGAAUUAGAUGGUUGGAACCCAACAACGAACCAUCAUGAAGGUCUUUAAUCCAUGGUGAACUUGUUCCACCUGUAUAGUGAUACCCAGUAAAUAAAAAAAAUCAAUGAAAUAUACACUACAAAAAUAUGGUUAUCACAAUCUUGACACUUGUAAUGAGGCUGAGAGAGUACCAUAUUCAUCUAAACUAAAAUCCAAACCAUUGGUAUUCGGAGCUAUGAAUGAAUCCUCUUUAUGCUCUCCAUCUGUAGGAUGAGAACCAACAUGAAUAUAAGGACAAUGAUAAAAACGUCGUAUCUACAUGGCAACAUUCCCAACAAUAGUCACACAAGCUCUAUACCUGUAACAGUACCUGAAUUGUCCACACCACUUUGAGCUAUGGGUAAGAUGCUUGCAUUGUUAUCUUCAACUAAAAAGCAUUAUGCAUUAAUUAUGAUAGGUUAAAGCAUGCCUGUAGAAUUAACUUCAACAGUUAUCACGCUAUUUAAGCUUGCGAAUGUUCGUUAACACAUGUCUAGUACUUUCUCAUUGAAAUGUUGCAUACCUGUAGAAACGUCCUCUUCUGGUAGCUGAUCAACCGCCCUGCUUCUUGAAUUACCCAUGUGUACCUAUGAAAUUAAUUGCUAUAAUUCAGUUAAUUGCUGCAUCUGCACAUACUGGACCAGAUAUAUAAAAAACGGUGGUUUUGCUAGUGAAAUUCUGAUGUUAGCUAUGCAAAAACAAUUAUGGUCUCCCGUCAAUGUAACAUGGAGCCAUUUGGAACUCGAUGCUCACAUUGGCAUAAGACCCGUGACUUUUUACAGAUGGCAUAGAAACAUAGAUUGUUUACUAUUGCAUGGAACCUAUUAGAUUAUAAAGUGUUAUAACUACCUUAUGUUUGUGUCACUUUUUGCAUGUGAUGCUGUUUCGAGGAUGGAAAAUGGAGAUCCUCUGAAGUUGUGAGAUGCGAACUCGAUGCGAUUGCCAGAUGCUCCUGCUGAUGACACCGUCCCCGAUGCCUGUUGCCACUUGAUGAUUCACCACCUGCAAGCAUUUGGGGCUGUCAAAUAGUGAUAAACAGGUAUGACUGACAAACAUUUCCCAUUCAAAAUGGUGGUUCAUAUGGGAGGAUGACAUUAUUUCCCACUCUGAACGAUUUUAUUCAUCCAGCCUGUAGCUGCACUCAAUUACAAAACUUCUCUGUAGCCUCUUAACCACCUUAUGUUUCUGUCAACUAACCUCCAGAUGUUAGCUAUGCAAAAACAAUUAUGGUCUCCCGUCAAUGUAACAUGGAGUCAUUUGGAACUCGAUGCUCACAUUGGCAUAAGACCCGUGACUUUUUACAGAUGGCAUAGAAACAUAGAUUGUUUACUAUUGCAUGGAACCUAUUAGAUUAUAAAGUGUUAUAACUACCUUAUGUUUGUGUCACUUUUUGCAUGUGAUGCUGUUUCGAGGAUGGAAAAUGGAGAUCCUCUGAAGUUGUGAGAUGCAAACUCGAUGCGAUUGCCAGAUGCUCCUGCUGAUGAAACCGUCCCCGAUGCCUGUUGCCACUUGAUGAUUCACCACCUGCAAGCAUUUGGGGCUGUCAAAUAGUGAUAAACAG